UACGUAGGGGGCGAGCGUUGUCCGGAUUUAUUGGGCGUAAAGAGCGUGUAGGCGGUUCGGUAAGUCUGUCGUGAAAUCCUGAGGCUCAACCUCGGGCGUGCGAUGGAUACUGCCGGGCUAGAGGGUGGUAGAGGCGAGUGGAAUUCCCGGUGUAGCGGUGAAAUGCGCAGAUAUCGGGAGGAACACCAGUAGCGAAGGCGGCUCGCUGGGCCACACCUGACGCUGAGACGCGAAAGCUAGGGGAGCGAACAUG
rnacentral:rRNA from 1 species